UAUGCGAGGGUUGAUAAGAGAGCUGCUCAUUUAGGGGAGUGGGCUUUUAAGGGAAAUUGGACUUAAAGGUAUUGAAAGACAAGGUGAAUUGCAAUGAGCACAUCCAACUUUUCUGGAUAAUGCCCUUCCUCUCUCACCCUUGGCAUCAGACACAGGUUAUUGAGGGAUUUGUUGGAGGCUGACAUUGGGAGAGGAUUGUGAAAUUACAUUAUAGUGAAAGAGGGCCACAAAAUUCACCUGUAGGAAUGCACCCCCUUGUUGGGCACAAGAUAUUACAACACUCCUUCAGGUGUUUUUUCCCUUUCCCUUCAGGUGUAUUUUUGUUUGCUCCUUCAGACUUGCUUGGCAUUCCUGAUGCCUAUUUCCAAGAAUGCCUCACCCAGGACUAACCUUCCCCUAUGUCUUCCUUUCCCUUUCCCAUUCAUUCAACAUAUAUUUAUGUCCUAGACACUGUUAAGCACUUGGGAUAUAUAUAUAUAUUGGUGAACAGUAAUAGAUGUGGUUCCUACUCACUGUGUUCUACUCGAAGAAAAACAUAUCAAAUAAUUAUACAAAUUGAUGAGUGUGACCGUAAUUAAUGCUACCAAGAAGAUUCCUGGUUCUAUGAUAGCCUAUUGACCUACUUAAGAAAGGCAAGGUAGGCUUCCUGGAAGAAGCAACAUGAGCUCAACUCUAAAGGGCAAGUAAAGUCAGAAGGUUUUUAAGUGGAAAAGUGCCAUGAUUAUAUGUACUUUGAAAAGAUCACUAUGGCUGCUGUGGAAGUGACUGGAAAAGGAUCACAGUGGAUGUGAGUAUACAGGAAGCUAUUGCAGUAAGCCAGGAGCAAGAUGGUGGUAGCUUGGACUGGGAUGGUGGCAGUCAAGAUGGAGAGAAAUAGAACAGUUGAACAGAUAUUUAGGAGGCACAUGAACUUUAACCAUAGCUAUACAAUACGGUAUGUCAUCUUUACUUCUGAUCUGAGCAAAUAUAUUCGUGUUUAUAUCAGCUAGAUACAGGAGAAUGCAUUUUGCUAACAUUGGUUGUCUUUUUUCACUAGCACAUUUCUUCUUAGAAAAAAAGGUGUGUAGUCACAUUGCUAGUGAAUUGUGUCUGGGAUAUUCUGAAGCUAAUUACAAAACUAGUGAAGAAUAGAAUUUAAAAUUGCAAUAAAAUUGCCAAAAUGGGGGCAGGGGACAUGGCUAUGGAAUCAACAGUAAGGAGAAAAAACACCCAAAGGGCAUUGUAAAGACAAAAUGAAAAACAAAUGUACAGAGGACAGGCAGGAAACUGCCAUCUUGGUGGGGAAAGUUAAAACAGGAUUCCGCAGAUGCACCAAAGGUAGAAUAGCGCUUUCCAAGGUCUGUAGAGAUCUAGGAAAAAUGAACCUUUGAGUCAUUUACAUGAAGACUACGAACUCCUUGGUGAAGUGAGGGACUCUGCAUUAAUAUUCUUACACUCAGGUGAAUGCUUAAGAGGGCAAGUCAGCAUGAACUUCAGGAGUGGUGCCAUCUGUUUGGUCCACAGGCUGAGUAGGACCCAGGUUAUGUACCCAGGUAGUUGCCGGGCCUGCCAGAAGAAUGGAUCAGUAUUGUAGGAGGGAAUGAAAACACUAACAGCAAACACCAAGGCUGUAUGGAACAGUGAGAAUGAGGAUGUGGCUACUUCCCCGGAGGGAGGAGACUCUACUAAGGGCUGCUUUUCCCUCUGCCCAAGGCUGAGAGUUGAAAAUUCGCUAUCACUGCAGGAUUGGGGACCUGGCAAGGACAGACCACCACAGCACUCCCAGCAGUUACAUAGGCAACUUUCUGGCAACUAAACCCCAAUGGCUUCUGGGAAUUUGGGAAUGACCUAGCUGUAUUAAAUAGCUUUUGUGGAGAGCUCAUAUCAAGUUCUGGGAGAGGGGCAGGUUUGGCUGGUUCCUAGGGAGAGAAAUAUUGUGGAUGAGGUUGGGUUGGCAGUUGGCUCUGGGUGGCUACUUAGACCACCUGGCCCCACUACAAGCCCUCUAGUAGGGGCAAUUUCCCACAGCACGGCCAAGAGGGGCGUUUUAAGUAUCUCAUACCUGUCUGUAUCAAAUAUUCUUUAGGGCAAGCAGACAAGAGGCCAAAAAAUAGCCAUCAAACUUUAAGAUUUUGAAGUCUGGGAGGAAAAAGUAAACUAUGGACCAAGCUAUCUGGAAAUGAGUGAGACUUUCUGAGUCAUUGAACAAAUAGAUCUUCAGGCUCACCUUUCUCUCCGACUAAUGUCCCCAAUUCACACCAGAAAUGCAUUAUUGUGGCUUCUGUGGGUCUGCAAAGGUGACUCAAUCUGUGUCACUGAACCCCUUUCACAUUAAUUAACCCUUUUGGUGUAAAGACCAGUCUUUUUUAGGGAAUUCUUGCAAUUACACUGCCAGGUGUUUCUAAUGGGCCAUGAAGGCAUCAAGGUACAGGGCCAAAGCUGUGUAAUCAAGUACUGUCCUGACAAAGAGGAAUUUUUACAAGGUAUUUGGAAAGCUUGUUGUUUGAGGUAGAAUAAAUGGUUUAAAAUAGGAGUUCUGGGUGAUCCAGGAAGAGCUAAGGAAAAUGGGUGGAAGUAUAAUCUCUGAAUUUUUGCUAUAUUUCUAAAGCCCAAUCAUGUUGCAUAAAACAGCAUUUCAGCUCUUAGCCAGGCAAUUUUCAAUGUACUUUUGCAGCUGUUAGGUCUAUGAGCCACUCUAGCACAAUGCAUAUAAAACAUUCUAUAAUAGUGGUAACUGCCUUGGGCGUCCGGCACUUAACUAAAAGAUGGGUUCCCACUUAAAAGAAACAACUGUACACUGCAAGAGGCAUUGCUAAAUCAAAGUGUGACCUACAUGGAAUAGGUCUGCAAUUGUAGAGGUUUUCACAUUAGGAACAUCUUUUCAAUGUUUGGGUGUAGGUCCUAGAAGGAUGUUAUUUUCAAUGAACUCAGCAUAUAAAAUGUUGGACACAUUUGUUCAUAGAACUUUGAAUUAGUAAUCAGCCUUCUCUAGCAUGUUAUCUAAUAACAACUUUAAAAUAAAAAUACUUUAAAAAUUUCUGUCACACUAGCCACAGGGCUACUAUUGGUCAAUGCAUUCUGAAACAAUUCCAUCAUCACAGAAAAUUCUACUGGACAGUGCAGUAGCUUUAAGAGUGGUGGGCCAAUCAAGUUGGGCUUUAACAUGCUUUCCUACAACCUCAGGAUUUUUGUCUCUCCUUCAACCCUAGCUUUUCUCUCACCUUUACCCCUACCCACAUACCUCCUUACGUGUUUCCUAUACUUUGGCCUGAUUUUAAUGCAGGUAUAUUCUUAACAUUUCACACACACACACACACACACACACACACACACACACACACACCAAUUGAAAAAUGAUGCCCAAGUCCCAAUGACCGAAAUUUAAUAUCUGGAGUACACACCUGGGAAAUCAGGAUUCUAAAGCUCCCUAGGUAAUCUUAAUGCACAACCAAGGUUGAGAACCACUAGACAACUAAUUUGAUAAAGUACUAAUAACCAUUCUAAUCACAACAUUUUUAGGUUUGUGAAAGGCAUGUAAGUUCUUUUUGCAUAAGGAAAUUUGUCAGACUUCAGAACAUCUUUUGUCCCUCAAACUCUUUUAUUCCUGUGUGACCUUAAAAAAGUAAUCUAGCAUGUUCAGGACUGGAACAGAGAGCACCAUGCCUUCUUAUCCCCAUUCAUCUUGGGCUUCAACACCUUCCUAUGAACUACCCUUUGUUGGCAUUCACCCCAUUAUACUAUUCCUUCUCUCUUCCUAUUACGGUCUGCACCUCUAAUUUAAGCUGUGGGGGAAGUGUCUCACCUAGUUCACAAGAGGGCUAACUUCACCACUCUCCAAACAGGUCCUACUUUUCAUAAUUGGGGCUAAAAAUAUUUUUUCAUUAACAAAGUCACUAAUACAACCACAUACUGUUUUCAGACCUUUUCCUUGGUUUACUUCACUUCAAUAGGAUUAAUUUAUCAAAAAUCCAAACUUGGAACUUUGCAACAUCCCUAAUUUAGUCAGUCUCCUCUGUAAACAUCUGGAAUUCUCUCAUCACAGUCAGGUAUAAAUCCAUAUCCAGCUUUCUCUCUAGUUUAACUGACCAAAUUUUUAAUUUAUGCCAAACUCUUUCUAAUAAAUACUAAAAAUUCUCCAACAUAGUGCCCAUAUUAAGUCAAAACCACCUCAGUAUAAAUGAUAUCUGUUCUCUGUGAAGUACAGCAUUGAUAAAGCCUGUGAAGUACUUCUAAAGUUACUUAAUUGCCCAUACUCUGCAUAUUACAUAUAACUCAUUUACUGGUUACCCUCAUUUCUAUCAUAGUUGUUUUACUGUUAAUUGGUUUCCUCCAGUUACCAAGGUGCUUUUUCUUUGAACUUAAAUGCAUUUUCUACGUCAAGGUGAUCUGAACUAGGGUCCAGAAAUUCAAACCCCAUUUGACAUUGGUGUAUUUCAGGGAUUUUCAACUGGUGUGCCACAAGAACUCUUAAAAUAUGUAAUACCUGACUAUUUAGUCAGGAAUUCUGAUCUCUUUUCCCUAAGACUGUCAAAUUAAAACAUGACAACAGCCAAUACAACAGCUGUCUGGUGUGAAUGAACUGAAAUCUACUGGGAAUCCUCUUUUCAACUAUUUUUUUUUUUUUGUCAGAUCAGCAAAAAAACAAAACAAA